rnacentral:rRNA from 1 species
CCUACGGGAGGCAGCAGUGAGGAAUAUUGCACAAUGGGGGGAACCCUGAUGCAGCAACGCCGCGUGAGUGAAGAAGUAUUUCAGUAUGUAAAGCUCUAUCAGCAGAGAGACAAAUGCCGGUACCUGAGUACGACUCCCCGGCUAACUACGUGCCAGCAGCCGCCGUAAUACGUCGGGAGCAGGCGUUAUCCGGAUUUACUGGGUGUAAAGGGGUCGCAGACGGAAGUGUAAGUCUGGAGUGAAAGACCGGGGCCCAACCCCGGACCUGCUCUUGAAACUGUGUGGCUAGAGUAAUGGAGGGGUAGGCGGAAUGCCUAGUGUAGCGGUGAAAUGCGUAGAUAUUAGGAGGAACACCAGUGGCGAAGGCGGCCUGCUGGACAGUAACUGACGCUGAGGCUCGAAAGCGUGGGUAGCAAACAGGAUUAGAUACCCGAGUAGUC